UGAGCUGGGAGGUUCUUUAAAUCUCUAUGGAUGGGGAGGUCUGGGUUAUCAUUCAUGUGGAUGACCUGUCUGUAUGUAGCUUCAUCGUAGCAAAUGCUGCAAAUGGGAA